rnacentral:rRNA from 1 species
UACGAAGGGGGCUAGCGUUGCUCGGAAUUACUGGGCGUAAAGCGCACGUAGGCGGUCUUUUAAGUCGGGGGUGAAAUCCUGGAGCUCAACUCCAGAACUGCCUUCGAUACUGGAAGACUAGAGUCCGGAAGAGGUGAGUGGAACUGCGAGUGUAGAGGUGAAAUUCGUAGAUAUUCGCAAGAACACCAGUGGCGAAGGCGGCUCACUGGUCCGGUACUGACGCUGAGGUGCGAAAGCGUGGGGAGCAAACAGG